GUGCCCAUAGCUCAAUUGGAUAGAGUAUCAGAUUCCGAUUCUGACGGUUGCAGGUUUGAUCCCUGACGGGUGCGACA
rnacentral:tRNA from 2 species